rnacentral:rRNA from 1 species
AUUGAACGCUAGCGGCAGGCCUAACACAUGCAAGUCGAACGAGUGGCGGACGGGUGUGUAAUGUCUGGGAAACUGCCUGAUGGAGGGGGAUAACUCCUGGAAACGGUAGCUAAUACCGCAUACCAUCAGAUGUCCCCAGAGGGGAUUGGCUUGGUGGUGGGGUUACGGCUCACGAAGGCGACGACCCCUAGCUGGUCUGAGAGGAUGACCAGCCACACUGCAACUGGGACGCGGUCCAGAGUCCUAGGGUAGGCAGCGGCGGUGAAUAUUACCAGAUGUGCGCAAGCCUGAUUCAGCGUGGCCGAGUGUAUGAAGAAGACGUUCGGGUUGGAAAUUACUGUCAGCGGGGAAGAGUUACCCGCUGAAGAAGCACAGGCUAACUCGGUGCCAGCAGCCGCGGUAAUUC